GACGAACGCUGGCGGCGUGCUUAACACAUGCAAGUCGAACGGAAAGGCCCUGCUUGCAGGGUACUCGAGUGGCGAACGGGUGAGUAACACGUGGGUGAUCUGCCCUGCACUUCGGGAUAAGCCUGGGAAACUGGGUCUAAUACCGGAUAGGAGCCAUUUUUAGUGUGAUGGUUGGAAAGUUUUUUCGGUGUAGGAUGAGCUCGCGGCCUAUCAGCUUGUUGGUGGGGUAAUGGCCUACCAAGGCGGCGGCGGGUAGCCGGCCUGAGAGGGUGGGCGGCCACACUGGGACUGAGGUACGGCACAGACUCCUACGGGAGGCAGCAGUGGGGAAUAUUGCACGAUGGGCGCAAGCCUGAUGCAGAGACGCCGCGUGGGGGAUGACGGCCUUCGGGUUGUAGACUCCUUUCGCUAGGGACGAAGCUUUUUGUGACGGUACCUAGAUAAGAAGCACCGGCUAACUACGUG
rnacentral:rRNA from 1 species